UACGUAGGGGGCUAGCGUUGUCCGGAAUUAUUGGGCGUAAAGAGCGUGUAGGCGGCCCGGUAAGUCCGCUGUGAAAGUCGGGGGCUCAACCCUCGAAUGCCGGUGGAUACUGUCGGGCUAGAGUGCGGAAGAGGCGAGUGGAAUUCCUGGUGUAGCGGUGAAAUGCGUAGAUAUCUGGAGGAACACCGGUGGCGAAGGCGGCAUCCUGGACCAACACUGACGCUGAGGAGCGAAAGCCUGGGGAGCAAACGGG
rnacentral:rRNA from 1 species